rnacentral:snRNA from 1 species
AGCUUUGCGCAGAGGCGAUAACGUGACCAAUGAGGCCUAGCCGAGGUGCGUUUAUUGCUGGUUGAAAACUUUCACCCAAUUGCCCGCCGUAGCUCCUGAAAUACGGAUGCUGCUGGCAAUUUUUGAACGCCCCGAAGGGGG